rnacentral:rRNA from 1 species
AAUGAACGCUGGCGGCAGGCUUAACACAUGCAAGUCGAACGCCCCGCAAGGGGAGUGGCGCACGGGUGAGUAACGCGUGGGAAUAUGCCCUUCGGUUCGGAAUAACACAGGGAAACUUGUGCUAAUACCGGAUACGAUCUACGGAUGAAAGAUUUAUCGCCGAGGGAGUAGCCCGCGUAGGAUUAGCUAGUUGGUGAGGUAAUGGCUCACCAAGGCGACGAUCCUUAGCUGGUCUGAGAGGAUGAUCAGCCACACUGGGACUGAGACACGGCUCAGACUCCUACGGGAGGCAGCAGUGGGGAAUAUUGGACAAUGGGCGAAAGCCUGAUCCAGCCAUGCCGCGUGAGUGAUGAAGGCCUCAGGGUUGUAAAGCUCUUUCGCCAGGGAAGAUAAUGACGGUACCUGGAAAAGAAGCCUCGGCUAACUCCGUGCCAGCCGCCGCAGUAAGAC